rnacentral:lncRNA from 1 species
UGUCAAAUAUUAAAAUCACACAACUAAUAAAAUAGAAGGAGAAUUUUAAUUUUGAACAUGUCAUCAAAGUGAAGUCCUUUUCCGACAAGAGUGCAUGACACACAAGUCUCUCUUUAAGUCUGAGUCAACCCAGUCUUAUUCAAUAGAAAUCUGAAAUUCAGAUUCUUUCUUAUUUUUAGAGUAACUAAUACUCCCUUCCGAACUAAAAUCACGCUUGUUCCUUUAACCGAUUAACCGUGGGCACAUAUUAAGGAAUUUGCGCAUUUUUUCCGAUGGUUAUUCCGAGAGCAAUUCACUAAGGUAACAACCGAAUCCAUCCACACUAAUUGCAUCCCAAGAAAUCAAUUAUACAUUACCAUCCAUAGUAACCAAUAAAAAGUUCUCUGCAAAUGUUGAUUUUGCAAUAGCAGGGAUAAAGUCAUAUCCAACUUUGGUUUCAUACUU